UGCGGUUCAAUUGGAGUCAACGCCGGGAACCUUACCAGGAGAGACAGCAGGGUGAAGGUCAAGCUGAAGACUUUACCAGACAAGCUGAGAGGAGGCGCAUGGCCGUCGACAGCUCGUGCCGUGAGGCGUCCUGUUAAGUCAGGCAACGAGCGAGACCCUUGCCAUUAAUUGCUUCCAUCGAUCGCAAGGUUGGCGGAGCUAGUUAAUGGGACUGCCGUCGCUAAGACGGAGGAAGGAAGGGGCCACGGCAGGUCAGUAUGCCCCGAAACUCUUGGGCCACACGCGGGCUGCAAUGGUAGGCACAAUAGGUACCGAAUUCGAAAGAAUGAGGCAAUCCCAAAAUCCUACCCCAGUUGUGAUUGAGGGCUGCAACUCGCCCUCAUGAAUCUGGAAUCCCUAGUAACCGCGUGUCAACACCGCGCGGUGAAUACGUCCCUGCUCCUUGCACACACCGCCCGUCGCUUCACCCGAGUUGGGUUUGGGGGAGGUAGUAUCUUAUUGGUAUUAUCGAACCUAGGUUCGACAAGGGGGGAGAAGUCGUAACAAGGUGGCCGUAGGGGAACCUGCGGCCG
rnacentral:rRNA from 1 species